GAUUACCACUCACCUUGAAUAAACCUGAUUCCAUCUGAUCUCAAAAGCUAAGCAGGGUGGGAAGUGGUUAGUACUUAGACAGGAGAUGACCUAGGAAUAUCAAAUGUUGCCACAU
rnacentral:rRNA from 1 species